rnacentral:rRNA from 1 species
UACGUAGGGUGCAAGCGUUGUCCGGAAUCAUUGGGCGUAAAGGGUGCGUAGGCGGCGCGGUAAGUCGGGUGUGAAAUCUCGGAGCUUAACUCCGAAACUGCAUUCGAUACUGCCGUGCUUGAGGACUGGAGAGGAGACUGGAAUUUACGGUGUAGCGGUGAAAUGCGUAGAUAUCGUAAGGAAGACCAGUGGCGAAGGCGGGUCUCUGGACAGUUCCUGACGCUGAGGCACGAAGGUCAGGGGAGCAAACGGG